rnacentral:lncRNA from 1 species
CAUGACGUCUCGAAGAAUGAAAGUGAAUGUUGACUGAAACCAUCAUCUCCUUUUCUGUAUGUUUCACUGAAGAAAAAAGUCGUACAGGUUUAGAAGAAAAUGAGGACUCUCCUUUUAGGACGCAAAGCCAGGUCUUGAUCCCAAUCCAGGAGGCUAUUUCUGUUGGAAGGGUUGUUAUCAGCUGUCGAGAAUUUGAAUAUGAUCGUUGACGUUAGAUUUUGUUUCACAUGUCCUUGGGCUGUCUAACCCAGGGUGAGUUCAAAAAUGGCAACAUAUUUCUCCCCCAAGGGGGGAGAGAGGCUGCUACCGCGUCUAGCCUUGAAUGUACCAUUCUAGUUAUGUGAACUGAAUUGAUUUGACCUUACAUGUAUGUGCUUGGGGACUUGGGGUUGGGGGUUAAUAAAUUAACUCACACUUUCAGAUUUGCUGGCAUAAUGUCCCGUAGCUAUAACUGGGCGGGCAGCAUCCAUACCCAUAUAUAUAUAUACAUAUGACGGGUCUGCAGGGACCCAUCUGCUGUCAAACGAUUAAUAGCAAUCAAUCGCAUCCAAAAUAAAAUAUUUUUGUUUACAUAAAGUAUGUAUAUGUUGUGUAUUUAUUAUUAUAUCUAAAUACACACACAUACAGUAUAUAUAUUGAAAAUAUUUACAUGUAUAUACAUUUAUAUAUUUAUAUUCUUAGAUUUUAUAUUACACAUAAAUAUAUUUUAUAUAUAAUUUUUUUUUUAAAUAUAUACAUGCAUGUGUUUGUUUUUAUAUAUACUGUAGAUAAUAAAUAUACACUGUAUUCACACAUAUAUUAUGUAAACAAAAACUUUUUUAUCAUUUGACAGCACUAAUUAAUUAUUAUAUAUAUAAAGUAUAUAUGUAUAUAUAAUUUAUAUAUAUACAUACAGAUUCGCUGCCGUAAUGUCCCAUAACUGACUGGGUGGCACCCAUAUACCCAUAUCAGACACUAUGUAUACUACAUAUAUUAUGUAACAAAAACUUUUUAAUCAUUUGACAGCACUAAUUAAUUAUUAUAUAUAUAAAGUAUAUAUGUAUAUAUAAUUUAUAUAUAUACAUACAGAUUCGCUGCCGUAAUGUCCCAUAACUGACUGGGUGGCACCCAUAUACCCAUAUCAGACACUAUGUAUACUCUACACACUACUUGUCAAAAAAAAUAAACUAAUUUUAAAUAUUUUCUCUUAUGCUUACUAUUGCUACAUUUAUUUGAUAAAAAAGUACAGUAAAAACAGUAAUAUUGUGAAGUAUUACAAAUGUUUCCCAUGUUAAAAUAUUUUCAAAUGAAAUUUAUUCAUGUGAUGACAAAGCUACAGUUUCAUCAACUGUUAUUACAGCAUUCAGGGUCACAUGAUCCUUCAGAUAUCAUUUUCAAAUUCAAUGAUCAAUUAUUAUCAGUUGUAAGAAUUUAAUAAAAAAAAAAAGUAAGCAAGGAUACAUUAAACUGAACAAAAGUGACAAUA